GCGGGCGUGGCGGAAUUGGUAGACGCAGCAGACUUAAAAUCUGCCGACCGCAAGGUCGUACCGGUUCAAGUCCGGUCGCCCGCACCA
rnacentral:tRNA from 1 species